rnacentral:tRNA from 2 species
GCGCCAGUAGCUCAGUGGAUUAGAGCACCAGACUUCGGAUCUGGGUGUCGGGGGUUCGAAUCCUCCCUGGCGCGCCA